AUUGAACGCUGGCGGAAUGCUUUACACAUGCAAGUCGAACGGCAGCACGGGUGCUUGCACCUGGUGGCGAGUGGCGAACGGGUGAGUAAUACAUCGGAACGUACCCUGACGUGGGGGAUAACACAGCGAAAGUUGUGCUAAUACCGCAUACGUCCUGAGGGAGAAAGCGGGGGAUCGCAAGACCUCGCGCGUUAGGAGCGGCCGAUGGCGGAUUAGCUAGUUGGUGGGGUAAAGGCUCACCAAGGCGACGAUCCGUAGCUGGUCUGAGAGGACGACCAGCCACACUGGAACAGAGACACGGUCCAGACUCCUACGGGAGGCAGCAGUGGGGAAUUUUGGACAAUGGGCGAAAGCCUGAUCCAGCCAUUCCGCGUGAGUGAAGAAGGCCUUCGGGUUGUAAAGCUCUUUCGGCAGGAACGAAACGGUGUGGGCCAAUACCCUGCAUCAAUGACGGUACCUGAAGAAGAAGCACCGGCUAACUACGUGCCAGCAGCCGCCGUAA
rnacentral:rRNA from 1 species